CUUGACAUUUGGGAGAACAAGUUGUGAGAUUCUCUCCACUUGGUGCUUGUUAGGCUUGUCCUCAAUGAAACACUUCUUGACACUCUUCCUGCACUCCUAACAGUUAUCUUCCAGCCUUAAUCUUUCCUGUGGAAAUGAUUAGUUAAAAAUUUAUUAGCAAAAACUAUCUGGAGAUCUCGGGGUUUUCUUUUUGUUUUUAAUCUUUCUAGUCUGCUUUUGAUGGAUAUAGCUGUGCGAAAGAAGGUGGAGGAAGGAGAUGGCUGAUCACCAGUUUUCUUAUUGCACUUUCCAGCAGCCUUCCAUGUAGCACACCAUGCAGUCAGGCCUGCUGGCAGAGUAGGUAGACCAUGGUGGCUGGGCACAAGGGACCAGCUUAUACAUUUCAGAGGGUGGUGGGAAGUAGCUCCUGGCACCAAGGGCCCUCCUUAGGAAGCUGUUAGUUUGUAUUUAUCAGACCCAUUUGUGAUGCAUUCAGAGAGGCAGGUCAAACUGCAGCACCUGUGGUAUGCCCAUGUUUGUGAGAAGUCCUGCUGCUGUUCAGAUGGCAGCUGGGAACCGUUUCUAGGGUAAUUUAGACAUUUUCAAAAGAAAUGAUGAAGGUGUGCUGUUCCUGGCAGACUUCCCUUCCCAACACAGAUGUGUGCUGCGAUCCCCAGUCUGCUGCCCAGCACCCUGCAACCCUUUGCUGCUUCCCAAGAGACCGUGACAUGAAGCUAACCAUGGACUUGCUGUCACUUGCACUGUACUCAUAAAUGGUGAUGUUUGCAGCAACGUGCCACCAGUGCCACAUCUUAUCCCCUUCUACCUAAGUCUUCUGGUCUGGUGAAUGUAAGUACUGUGCACAACCAGCUACACCAUAGUACACUUUUAAUCCUACUGCCUUUUGUGUGGGUGUCGUGGAUCUGUGAUAGGUUGAAGCCCCACACAGUGCAGCAGGAGCAUUGUAUCUGAGUGUGCUGUGUCACCCUGGCUCUGAGGGAAAGGGGCCAGUGGGAUUCCCUGAAUUUAAUUUAACAAAGGUGUCUGAGGUUGGCAGUCCUGCCUCAGCUCAGAGCUGCUGUGGGUGCUUCUGGCUCCCACAGGGCUCUUUGGAAACGCAGAUGCUUUCCAGCAUUAGGUCCACAGUGGGUGGUUUGUAGUGUUAAAUACAGCUCAUGAGGAUGAAAUCAUGUAGAUAAAAGGAAUAAAGCUCCUUCUUCUGGCUGAGCCCCUUGGAUC
rnacentral:lncRNA from 1 species